rnacentral:lncRNA from 1 species
GAGAGAUGCCACUAUACUUUUCUUUUCAAUGGUCCUUGGUUUGCUAAGAUUAACAUCGUUGGGACCUGUGAUCCUACCAAUGUUCACUACAUAAUGAGUUCCAACUUUAACAACUUCCCCAAAGGACCAGAAUUCAAGCAGCUUUUCGACGUCUUGGGAGACGGGAUUUUCAAUACCGACAUGGAUUUGUGGAGAAAACAGAGGAUGGUUGCUCAAGAAUUCAUGAGAAAUCAGUCGUUUCACAAAUUUUUGUUGAGGACUACCCGAGAUAAGGUGGAAAAAGGGCUUAUUCAUGUCAUUGACUAUGUUGCCAAACAAGGCUUGGUGGUCAAUUUAGAAGAUGUAUUCCAAAGGUUUACGUUUGAUACUACGUGCAUCUUGGUCACUGGCUACGAUCCUAAAUGUCUCUCCCUCGAAUUCCCUGAAGUUCCUUUCUCUAAAGCCUUGGAUGAUGUUGAGGAAGCCAUAUUUUAUCGGCAUGUCAGGCCACAGAGCUUUAUUAAGUUGCAGAGGUGGUUGAAAAUGGGACAAGAACAAAAAUAUAGAAAGGCAUGGGAAGUUCUUGACGAUAUUAUGACUAAAUAUAUAUGCCAGAAGAGGAAAGAACUGGAUACAACGACGAAAGGGUUGGUCUCACAAAAUGGUGAAGACGGUGUGGAUCUCUUAACAUCAUACAUAGCUGAAGAAAAACCAACAGGUUUGAAAUGUGAUGAUAAGUUCUUGAGAGAUACCAUUUUGAACAUGAUGCUUGCAGGGACGGACACCACCAGCUCUGCUCUUACUUGGUUCAUUUGGUUGGUCUCGAGGCAUCCGAUAGUGGAGAACAAGAUCAUAGAAGAGCUUCAAUCAAAACUACCUGCCGAGGAAACCAAAAAGAGGCGGCUAUUCAAUGCUAAAGGAUUUGGUUUAUCUACACGGAGCAUUAUGCGAGGCAUUAAGGUUAUAUCCACCGGUACCAUUCCAGCACAAGGAACCUCUCAAACCAGACAUACUUCCAAGUGGGCAUCCAGUUCAUCCAACCAUGAAAAUAUUGUUUAGUUUGUACGCAAUGGGAAGGAUAAAGUCUUUCUGGGGUGAAGAUUACCUUGAAUUCAAACCUGAAAGAUGGAUUAACGAGAGAGGAAGGAUUAAACAUGAGCCGUCAUACAAGUUCAUGUCAUUCAAUGCAGGGCCAAGGACAUGUUUAGGGAAGGAUGUGGCUUUCCUUC